UAUAAGGGCCGAAAACCUAUCUUUGGAUAACCCCUCAUUCAUCUGCUAAAACCUCCAUAAGGAUAAAGCAUACCAUAAUGAAUUAUCAGUACAAGUAUAAACUAUUCCCAAACUACCAAUCAUGCUUCAGCAUCGUACACACAGGGUCCAGCAUAGAGGUCAAAGAUUGGCUUUUUAGUUGGAUAUCCUUUGAUAAAAUUAUAAUAAAUGUUGGAACUUUGGACAGCAUACUAUAACUUCAAAUCCUUCAACUAUAUUAGUGCAAAG
rnacentral:misc_RNA from 1 species